UUAAUAUAUUAUACAGCAUUAAAAUGCCGUCUUGUGUAAUGCGAAGAUGCACUUAUUACUCAAGUAAAAAAGCAAAAUUCAUGGAAUAACAUAGUUACCACAACUCAGGAACUAGUGCAAUUACAAUGGAUCGAUGUUGUCCGCAAACAAAGAAGCGAAUAUGACUGGAUGCCCACGCAAAAUAGUAAAAUAUGUUCAGAUCAUUUUGAUAGUGAACAAAAAUAUACUUCUGCGAAAGGACGGACACUCUUGAAAAAAUCGGCUGUACCUAUUUUCAAGAAGCCUGAAAAUUUACCACUUAGACAAAUUCACUCCCCAAAUAGCCUUGAUGACAUAGACAUAUCUGACAUGGCAUCUAUUUUUGAUACGCCUAGAAAGUGUUCGCUAAAGAAAAGAGUUCGUUAGCUGGCUUGCGAAAAGGAAAAUUUACAAAAAAGAAACAAGAUUCUGAAACAGCAGAAUAAACGAUUGAAAAAGAAAAUGGCAAGCACAAAAACUAUUCUUAAAACUUUAAAAAAUAGAAGGUAUAUAUCAGAGCAACAGUUUAUGGAACUGAAUUUAAAAUCAGAAGUUACUGAUGUGAUCAAUAGAAUAUUAUACAAAAAAAUAAAAAAACGGUAUUGUGCAAAUACCGUUAUAAGUAUGUAUAUAUAAGUAUGUGAGGCGCGUGUUCCAUACAGCCCUAUCACACCCAAAACUUCUUGGAAAGUGGUAUAAAAAUACAACUAUAUCGCCCGGUUUUACAGGUCAAGCAUUUCAAAUAUUGAAAAGAAAGAGUCAGAUAUCCCACAAAAGGCUGAUUUGCGCCCUCGUGGCAGAUGAAAUGGCUCUAAGACACCAAACCGUAUGGACGGGUAAAAAAACAGACGGCCUCGUAGAUUACGGUUGUGGAUCUUCUAACAGUUCUAUUGCGACACAAGUUUAUGUGCUAAUAUUAGUGUGUCUUAAUGAAUGUUGGAAAAUUCCAGUUGGAUAUUUUUUGUUAAAAGCCUAAACGGUGAAACAAGAGCAGACUUGAUAAAGUCAUGUCUAAUUAAAAGUCAUGAUUCAGGUGUAGAUGUCGUUGCACUGACCUUUGAUGGUUGCUCAUCCAAUAUAGCUGCUGCCAAUCUUCUGGGCAGUAAUUUAUAUAAUCCACAAAAAUUAAAAACCACUUUUAAGCACCCCUCAUGUGAUAUGGAAGUUGCAGUUACACUGGAUCCUUCUCAUAUGUUAAAAUUAGUACGCAAUACCUUUGAGGCCAAGAGGAUAAUUUUUGAUAACGGCGAUAAAAUAAUUAGAUGACAGCUAUUAAUUAACCUCCAUAAAUUGCAAACUGCUCAAGGUCUUACUUUUGUUAACAAACUAUCUAAAAGACAUAUUCAUUUCAGAAAUGAAAUUAUGAAAGGUAAACUUGUAACUCAAUUGCUGAGUAAAAGUGUUGCAACUGCUUUACUCUUAUGCAAUGAAUUGCUAGUUUCCCCCAAAUUUAAAGAGGUCGAACCAACGGUAGAAUUUAUAAAUAACUGUAAUAUAUUAUUUGAUAUUUUUAACUCGCGUGCCAGGGACAUGUUUGGUUUCAAGAAACCUGUUUCGAAACAAAAUUGUAAAGAGGUAAUGGUGUUUUUAGACAGCGUUAAGAAUUACAUUUUAUCUCUACGUAUUUACAACAAAUCAAAGCGAGUCGUGAGAAAGAGAAUAAUUAUAACAGUGUCAAAAAAAACCCAUUAUUGAAUGUAAAUGUAAAACUGGCUUCUUGGGGUUCCUAAUAAAUUGAAAUAAUAUUGAAAGCCUCAAACAUCUAUAUACAAGCUUAGUACAGAAUGAUAUUUUAAGUUAUUUAGCCACAUAUCACCUGAGUCAGGAUCACAUUGAAAUAUUUUUUGGCAAUGUGCGCCGACAUGGAGGCUACAAUAACAAUCCAAAUACGGUACAAUUUAAAGGUAUUUAUAAGAAGCUGGUUAACCAUUUAGAGAUGCGAAGUGGAUUCAGCGGAAACUUGAAAAUUGAAAAUUCACUUGAAUACUUUCCCAUUUUAAACAGAUCAUCAGCAAUAUUGAACUUAAAUCAUUCAUCAGACAAGCUGAGGGCAGAUGAAGAUGUUGACGAGGGUGUUGAAAAUGUUUCUACUGACACUGAUAAAAUUGCGCAAAAUAACGUAGCAAUACUGGCUGAAACCCUAACUAGUGGACAAAGUCCAGCUUAUAUAACCCAUCAAAUCGUAGGUUAUAUAUCUGGUUGGGUUGCGUAUAAAUUGGCAAAAAAUAUAAAAUGUGAAGUAUGUACAGACGAGUUGUUUUCAUGUGACAAAUUGUGGUUUCACAAAUUAAUUACAAUUAAAGAUAUGGGUAUAUGGCUUAUGUUACUCUUCGAAAGAUUUGUUUAAAGUGUGUAUAAUAUGUGAAACGGUCAUCAAAUCCUACUUCAAUGAAAAUGGAAUAAUAAUUCCACACAAUAACUGUACGGAGUCAUUGAAAACCCGUAUUUUAAAAAGUUUUAUUUAUAGUGAUGUAUUUAAUUCUAUUUAUUUCACAGAACAUUCACAACCAGGUAACCAAAAAAAUUAAUAAGCGACAAAAAAGAAAUAAAUUAAAUCUUUUUGAGGGUAUUUGACACUUUUGAAUACAAUAAUUACUAAACCAGUAAAAUGUUAAUGUAAAAAAAAUAUUUGCACAACAAACUACUUGUACCCAUAACCCAACUGUCAACUUUACAUUGCGAUAAUGGUUGAUGUAGAUGCUCUUGGGUGUCACGGGCGGAUAGCCCGUGACUCAUUAUGUUAAACGUGAAUUAUUAUGUUAAAUACCUAGUUAUAUUAUGUUGAAUGUUUAAGUUAGUGCCUAACUUAAAAAUGUAGAGAAAGUUACUUUUUUACCCUUUUAGUUACCUUGUUUUAAGUUGCAACCGCAUCAGC